rnacentral:rRNA from 1 species
AUGCGGAUCAUUGUGCAAUGCUUAUGUGAAAUCUCAAUCCAAAACUUAUUCGUUUCGUUGGAAAAACCGACACCGACGUCAAGAUCAGUCUCCUUUCCUUUCUCUUUAGUUUGGGAGCAGAGCUUAAAAAGAUGGGGGGUCACGAUGGAUCCUUUUUUUAUCCCUGAUUCCAUGGACGGAAUGAUUGUGGAAUUUAACCCUUCGUCGUCAUACUCAAACUCGGUCAAUGGGCCGGCUUUUAGUGUAGAAAGUGUGAGUUCGAACUACAUGGAGGUGGAGGAAUCAAUAAAUUCCCCUCCUCCCCCUAAUCCAAACCCUUAUUCUCAGAUUCUGGAUUUAGUCGCCGCAAAUGCAAAUAUGGAUUACUUUCACUUCUCUCAAAUGCAGAUGUUUUACCAAAUGCAAAUGUUUUAUCAAAUGCAAAUGUUUUAUCAAAUGCAUUUGAAUUAUUUUAGCAGCCAGCCGCUUUUGCCUAUGGUACCUAUGUAUGUUCAUUUUUUUAUGUCUUUUUAUAUGCGGUUUUGGUAUUUUCCCUUCUAA